GGAGGAUCUGGCAGUGGAGCCGUGUCCCCACCUAGGACUCGGGCAGCCUGCAGGGAAGGGCCAGCUGAGGGACGAUGCCCCGGGCAGAGGCGGAGACAGAGCAGCUGGGCGGAGGGCCAGCAGGAUGGGGGCUGCCACCAGGGCCACGCCGAAUGGUCAGCCGGGCCUCACGGGGCUGGAAAGUUGAGUAAGAGGGACUGAGCAGCGUCUCUUGGAUGUCGCGAAUGAGGUCACCAGUGACGUCGGCAGGAGCUGACGAGGCGGCUGAUGGGGGCCGAGGCUGUGGCCGUGGGUGCACCCGUGGGCGGAGGAGAGGAAACGGAGCCGGCCUGCCACACACUUUGAAGAAGUGAGCGAGGGGAAGAGAGAGAAAGGGGGUGUGGGCUUGAGGGAAGAUGUGUGUUCAUUGAAUGCAGGGGGGGAGGAGGGUCUAACGGGCCCCUCGGCCAUGACCAUGGGGUGGGGGUGGGGAGGGACAGUCACCUGUGUGACCGCAGCGACACACCUGAUGUGACAGCCCUUCCAUAGGGAUUAUCACCACCUGAUGGUUACCCUGGUAACGAGCGAGGUGCCAAGACCAUCCCCACUUCCCGCAGGAGGCCCAGAGUGGGUAGGUAAUUUGCCCAAGGCCACACAGCUGGCAAGCAGAGGUGGGCCUUAACCACGUUAACUGAGUUAACAGUUAACCACCCAGUCUAACUGAAGCGUCCUCUUAACCAUUAUUAGCACGGUGGUCUGUUUCUCACUGGUCACCAGCUGGGCAUUGGAGCUGGAGGCUGCUGAUCCUGCAGCGUUUUCCCAGCUCCACGUUCGGGGAUCCCACUGACCAGGCGGGGAGGAUUUACACCACGAGAGAAAUGACUCACAUCAGAGUGACGUGUUUGAUCCCCUGCGGAGCCAGGUGUCACACAUGUACUGGCACAGCUCACUGCUCAUCCCAAAGGACACAGGGAGCCGCUUACCCUCAGACCGACCUCCUGUCCUGGACCAGCGACCCGAGAGCCUGCUGGCUCCCUUGGGGGAGGACCCCACCCCCACCCCCUGUCCUCAGAGACAGUAAGAUGGGGGCACUGUUUGUUGAGUUCUGGGGCGUCAGGAGGGAGGCAGGGCCACCUGUGGGGCCCUUGGGGCCCAGGGCUGCUGGCUUGAGCCGGGCUGGGCUGCCUGUUCUGGGGUAAGCUACCCUCCUCCAUCCAUCACAGCCCCUCGGGCCUUUCCUGUCAUCAGUUCCCUCCCAGUGCACACAGCAUCGCCCCGAGGGUGUAACAUUAGACCCAGACUUUCAGAGCUGUCACUUCUCCUCGCCAAACCUUGGCAUGGUUUAACCAAGGACACAAAGGGAGUUUGCAGAAAAGGGACGCCAAGGCCUAGGGCCAGUUCUGCCUCGGGGAGAGAGACCCCCCUGCCAGAGCUGUGAGCCGCUUUGCAGACUCUCCUCUGCGCCCCCCCACCCCCCACCGUUGCUGCGUUCACUCCAUUUCCGAGAUAGGGGAACCGAGGCGCAGAAAGAGGAAGCGACCUGGGCCAGGGCACCCAAACUGUGAGUGGCAGAUCUGAGAUUUACUCUGGGCAGACUCCGAGGCUCACAGCCCCGCUCUAGCACCGCUUCCAUGUGUCCCUCAGGCCCCAGGGCCUUUCGGUGGCUGUGGGUCACACGGUCACUCGUGGGGCGGCCGACACUACCGCCACCUGCCUCCCACCGGCUGGGCAGACAGGGGGAGACACGGCCUCUGUUUCCCGCCUCCCCAGCCCUGCUGCCGAGGCUGGUGCCUGAGCCCCGUGUCCCAACCUGCAGCCUGCAGAGCCCACCCCCGUGACCGACAGGCUCGUACAUUUCCCCAUUCAGCUGAUGGUGAGUGCUGUGCUAUUUUAAGCCCACAUGGAAGUAUUUUUUUUUCCUAAGGACCAUCUGCUACCGGCCCCAGCCCAGAUGAUACAGUUAGAACUUACCCACAGCAUCCUCUCCCGCCUUCAGACAGUUCCAGGAACAAGGGUGAGUCAGUCGCCCAGCUGAACUCCCGUCCUGCUAAGAGAUGGCCCCGGUUUGGUGCCAGCGGAGGGGGCUGCUCACCCCGGGGGGCAGGGGCGCUGCUUCUCAGGGGCAGGAAAGGGACCCCUGCCCCUCACAGUGGUGCUGCCUGCAGAGAGAGCCUGGAGAAGGCCUGGGAAGGCUGAGUCCACCCUCCCAGCUGAGCCUCUUUUGGCUCAGAAGCUGAGACCUGGUUCAGGAGUUCAAGUGCGGACGAUGAAGCGUGUCAUGAAGGUGUCACGGAGAAGCGGGUGGCCAGCAGGGCACCUGCUCUGGCUGCUUCUGGGAGAACCCCGGGUGUGCUUUGGGGUGCCAAGAGGUUGGGUCCCCUCUCGCUGGAUGCAUGGGCCAGCAUCCCCCCGAGGCCAGGGGGGAUAUUCCGAAACACUGACCACAGGCCCUCAGGGUUGGGCUCUGCUCACCUCCCCUCUCUCCCUCCCUCCCCGCCCCCAGGGGCUCCCCAUGAAGAGAGGCUGUGUAACUCUGUGUACAGCACAGAGAUUGGAGAAUUCCCACUGCAGCGCAGGGAAGUGCUGGGACACAGGUUGGAUCCCCGGCCCAGCACAGUGGGUUAAGGAUCCAGCAUUGCUGCAGCUGCAGCGUAGGUUGCAACUACAUCUGGGAUCUGAUCCCUGGCCCAGAAAUGCCAUAUGCCGUGGGGCAGCCAAAAAGAAAAAGACCAAAACCAAAAACUGGGGUGAUGUGUGCGAGGGGUCUGGUACUCUGCCCAGCUACUGUCGUCUGUGUCAUUAUGACCUUCAGAGGGCCUGUCCUUUGAACCGGCUGAGAUAUCAGGUCUGCGCCCUGUCAAGCAGGGCGGCUGUGCCGCACAUGCUCUGUUGGCCUGGGCCCCCUCUCCUCCUGGGCACUGGUCAUUUGGCUGCAGGGACUCUGGUUACUAGGCAUGGGCAGCAGCUGACUUGAGCCUGGCAGGGUAGCCCUGGGCGGCUGUUAUUUCAUCACAGGCCCUCUGGCUAGACCGUUGCCUCUCUUGCUGUCCGGGGCAGAAGCUGGGACACUCAGCCAGGGGGCUUCUCCGUGCUUCCUCCUGCCUCCUGGCUGCUCACUUCCCUCUCGGGCUGUGGGCUGUGCCCGUCUGGCGGCACCUCCCUCGGUUCUGACCCCACAGCUGUGUCCCCGAGCGCUAUCGGGUGCAUGCAGCCCUCCGAGGCCCCGGGAGUGGCCCUGUGAGCAGGCGAGGGGCUGAGGCCUGACAGCUCGGCUUCCUGUCUCAGAGUCUAUCUGCUGCCGCUCUGCAGAGGCCUACAGUUUAUCUGUGGCCAGUGUUCGCACCCAUUUCCUGCCAGCUGCUACUGGUUUUUCACUCUGCUCCGAUAGCACCGGUAACUGGGAAAGGACCCGGGCUGCGUGAUUCACCCGCGCCGGCGGGCAGGGAUGCCACGCUGGGGCACAGGGCCCUUCCCCACCGCACACGGAGGGACAGCACCGUCUCUGUCCCCUGGGCCUUCCCCGCAGGCCCUGGCGGGGAGACACAAAAAACACCCGCACAUUCAUCGCGCCCUGAAAGUUGCUUGUGUGUGUGUUCCUGCGCCCGUGUGGGGUCUAAGGGAUUUUUUUUUUUUGAAUGCACCCGGGCCGAAGCAAACGGUGUCUUGUUUGGAGAAGUCAGAAUGUAACUCGGGGCUGAGCAUCGCCCCUCUGGCGGGGAGCCCCAGUUCUCGCUGAGGGACGGUGGUGGUGAGCUGGCGGUGUCCCAGUUGAGGACUGGGUAGUCACACCUAAAAUUUUAUUUCCUGGCAUUUCACACAAUGCGGAGGAAAAUCCCCCACCACAGCAAGGGACUCCUUCAAAUAGAAAACGAGAACGCGUCCAUUCAUUUUUAUUUUUUAUGUUUUGCUUUUUUAUGGCUGCACCUGCGGCAUAUGGAAGUUCCCAGGCUCAGGGUGGAAUCGGAGCUGAAGCUGCCGGCCUACACCACAGCCACAGAAACCCAGGGUCCGAGCUGCGUCUGCGACCUACACCCCAGCUCACGGCAAUGCCGGAUCCUUAACCCCAUGAGCAAGACCAGGGAUCGAACCUUCAUCCUCAUGGAUGCUAGUCAGGUUCUUAAUCCAUUGCGCCACAAUAGGAACUCCCCAUUUUUUUUUUUUUUUAAAUGUGGUGGAUCAGAGUUUUGAAGCGUCCUGAAUGUAGAUAAGCCUCUGGCUAAGUGUCAUGAAUUGGCUAGAGUGUGGCUUCCCAAGCCUGGGUUCAAGUGCAGGGAGCAGAGGUCUCUGCAGGGUGAGGCCAGGGCAGGCAGUGGCAGCACUCCAGAGCCGGAGGGGAAUGCAGAACCCGUGGUCCAGACCCGCUGGCACCCAGGCUGGGUUUUACCCGGCUCUGCAGGUGGCCCUGCCGUGCCAUCAAGCAUGAGAAGAUGCAGACCUCAUUGGGAGGCUUUUAAAUUUUUCUUGGGUGGCAAAGAAUCAAAGUGGUACUCCAGUAUGAAAUGAUUCACGCCACACGUAGUUACUGCCCUCCCUGGUGGGUACUAGACUGUGCGCUGGGUGCAGCAAGGGUCCACCUGGCAUCCAGAGCCCACAUCCCUGUCCCUGGUCUUGAGAAGGUGAAGUCCACGACAAGAAUGCCGCCUGAUCUGGGGACGUCCCCUAGUCAGGUGGGGGAGGGGUGCCGGGGGAGGGGCCUGGGCUAUUUCACGGGGAUGGGAAUUACAGGAAGGGGAGGGGGAAAGCUGGAUGGUGGCCUUGGUAGGUGUGGGGUUUAUCCCAGCUCCGACACUGUGUAGUGCAGCUCACAGAAGCCCCUAAACGUCUCAGCCUCAGCUUUCUCAUCUGUACAAUGGGCUGAAUGAUUUUGAGGCUUAAAUGAGGUAAUACCUGCCACAUGCCUCGCACAGCCCUCGCUAAUAUCUAUAAGAGAUGUUAGCAAGUAUUGCAUCUGAGGGCAGUGGGGAGCCACGGAGGGCUUCUAGCCAGUCAGUGACACGAGCAGGAUACUCUCUUUGCUCCUGGAAAUGCCUCGGACCUUUAGGCCAGGAGAAGCUCUUUGUCGAGCCUGAGACGCCCGUACCAUUAAUAUUUCCAGCUAUAAUCAAAUUUAAAACAUGUCUGAGAAAAAUGUUAGGCGUUUCCUUUGUGGCUCCGUGGGUUAUGAACCUGACUAGUAUCCAUAAGGAUGUGGGUUCGAUUCCUGGCCUCGCUUAGCGGGUUAAGGAUCCGGCGUUGCUGUGAGCUGCGGUGUAGGUCACAGACACAGCUCAGAUCUGGUGUGGCUGUGGCUGUGGCUGGCAGAUGCAGCUCCAAUUCCACCCCUAUUCUGGGAACUUCUAUAUGCCACAGG
rnacentral:lncRNA from 1 species